UUGGUUAAGUUAGAAAGGGCGCACGGUGGAUGCCUUGGCACUAGGAGCCGAAGAAGGACGGGACUAACACCGAUAUGCUUUGGGGAGCUGUACGUAAGCGUUGAUCCAGAGAUUUCCGAAUGGGGGAACCCACUAUCUUUAGUCGGAUAGUAUCCUUACGUGAAUACAUAGCGUAAGGAAGGCAGACCCAGGGAACUGAAACAUCUAAGUACCUGGAGGAAGAGAAAGAAAAAUCGAUUUCCUGAGUAGCGGCGAGCGAAACGGAAAGAGCCCAAACCAAGAAGCUUGCUUCUUGGGGUUGUAGGACACUCUAUACGGAGUUACAAAAGAAAGUUAUAAAUGAAGCGGUCUGGAAAGACCCGCCAAAGACGGUAACAGCCCGGUAGUUGAAAUGGCUUUCCCUCCAGAGUGGAUCCUGAGUACGGCGGAACACGUGAAAUUCCGUCGGAAUCCGGGAGGACCAUCUCCCAAGGCUAAAUACUCCCUAGUGACCGAUAGUGAACCAGUACCGUGAGGGAAAGGUGAAAAGCACCCCGGAAGGGGAGUGAAACAGUUCCUGAAACCGUGUGCCUACAAGUAGUUAGAGCCCGUUAAUGGGUGAUAGCGUGCCUUUUGUAGAAUGAACCGGCGAGUUACGAUUUGUUGCAAGGUUAAGCGGAAAAAGCGGAGCCGUAGCGAAAGCGAGUCUGAAUAGGGCGCAUAAGUAACAGGUCGUAGACCCGAAACCAGGUGAUCUACCCAUGUCCAGGAUGAAGGUAAGGUAAUACUUACUGGAGGUCCGAACCCACGCACGUUGAAAAGUGCGGGGAUGAGGUGUGGGUAGCGGAGAAAUUCCAAUCGAACUUGGAGAUAGCUGGUUCUCUCCGAAAUAGCUUUAGGGCUAGCCUCGAGGUAAAGAGUCAUGGAGGUAGAGCACUGUUUGGACUAGGGGCCCUUCUCGGGUUACCGAAUUCAGAUAAACUCCGAAUGCCAUGUACUUAUACUCGGGAGUCAGACUGCGAGUGAUAAGAUCCGUAGUCGAAAGGGAAACAGCCCAGACCACCAGUUAAGGUCCCCAAAUAUAUGUUAAGUGGAAAAGGAUGUGGGGUUGCUUAGACAACCAGGAUGUUGGCUUAGAAGCAGCCACCAUUGAAAGAGUGCGUAAUAGCUCACUGGUCGAGUGACCCCGCGCCGAAAAUGUACCGGGGCUAAACAUAUUACCGAAACUGUGGAUGAACCUC
rnacentral:rRNA from 1 species